GAGGAGCAUCUAGACCAUAUCCCAUUAAAAGAAUCACUGGAAUAAUUAGAAUUGCCGGAUAAAGAGACAAAUGAGUUGCCAUAACCCAUCCAAAAGCUGCUAGGGGAACUAGUCCUGUGGAACAUAAAAAGAACAAUAUUCAAUAAAAAAAAUGGGAGUUACAAAAGGGGAAAGCAGAGGAUGCACCCUCAUCCAUCCAUAAUCAACUGCAAGAAUUCCAAUUGGCAUUUUUACGGUUUUGUGAAAAAAAUCAUGGGGUGCUAAAAAAAGUAGAAUACCUUAUAUGAUAUCAAGCAAAUUACAGAACACUUCAUAUUUGCCAUCAUAAGAUGUUGAAGACAAAUCACUGGCAUCUCUUUAGGUUGAUUAGGAUGGAAAUAACAUAUUUAAGAGGCUGUAAUGAGUGUGAAAAUAUACUUAUGAUAUAAAUUAAAGUUGAAAAUUUUUCACCAAAAGUUGGAGGCAAAGCUCACUGUGAUUAUCCAAAAUACAAUCAAUUAAGGUCUCAAACACUAAACAAAGACUAUUCGCAACUUACGUGUACAGGCUCCAUAAAGCAUCAAUAUGAUGAACAAAUUUUCAAUUGG
rnacentral:misc_RNA from 1 species